GAUGAACGCUGGCGGCGUGCCUAAUACAUGCAAGUCGAGCGGACGGACGAGAAGCUUGCUUCUCUGAUGUUAGCGGCGGACGGGUGAGUAACACGUGGAUAACCUACCUAUAAGACUGGGAUAACUUCGGGAAACCGGAGCUAAUACCGGAUAAUAUUUUGAACCGCAUGGUUCAAAAGUGAAAGACGGUCUUGCUGUCACUUAUAGAUGGAUCCGCGCUGCAUUAGCUAGUUGGUAAGGUAACGGCUUACCAAGGCAACGAUGCAUAGCCGACCUGAGAGGGUGAUCGCCCACACUGGAACUGAGACACGGUCCAGACUCCUACGGGAGGCACCAGUAGGGAAUCUUCCGCAAUGGGCGAAAGCCUGACGGAGCAACGCCGCGUGAGUGAUGAAGGUCUUCGGAUCGUAAAACCCUGUUAUUAGGGAAGAACAUAUGUGUAAGUAACUGUGCACAUCUUGACGGUACCUAAUCAGAAAGCCACGGCUAACUACGUG
rnacentral:rRNA from 1 species